rnacentral:rRNA from 1 species
CAGUAGCCGCGGUAAUACGUAGGUGGCAAGCGUUGUCCGGAAUUAUUGGGCGUAGAGGGCUCGCAGGCGGUUUCUUAAGUCUGAUGUGAAAGCCCCCGGCUCAACCGGGGAGGGUCAUUGGAAACUGGGAAACUUGAGUGCAGAAGAGGAGAGUGGAAUUCCACGUGUAGCGGUGAAAUGCGUAGAGAUGUGGAGGAACACCAGUGGCGAAGGCGACUCUCUGGUCUGUAACUGACGCUGAGGAGCGAAAGCGUGGGGAGCGAACAGGAUUAGAUACCCCUGUAGUCCCUGUCUCUUAUAC